rnacentral:rRNA from 1 species
AAGCUCGUAGUUGAAUUUCGGGGUUAGUAGGUUGGUCAUGCCUCUGGUAUGUACUGGUCUCACUGAUUCCUCCUUCCUUAUGAACCGUAAUGCCAUUAAUUUGGUGUUGCGGGGAAUUUGGACUGUUACUUUGAAAAAAUUAGAGUGUUUAAAGCAAGCUAACGCUUGAAUACAUUAGCAUGGAAUAAUGAAAUAGGACGUUCGAUCUAUUUUGUUUGGUUUCUAGGAUUGACGUAAUGAUUAAUAGGGAUAGUUGGG